AUCCACUCCACUGGAGUUUACCAUGCAGACCCAGGAUAGGGUAGAAGAAGUGACAAGAAGGGAGAAGCAGCAGCCAGUAUUUCAGCGUGGGUUACAUCAAGUAUGCAUCUGGAUCCUCAGCUCUGGUGACAGCAGCCUCAACCUGAAAACAGCCUGAAGUUUUGCGAAUCCCCCACGGUGUAGCACAUCCAGCAAGGUGGCCUCAAACACAGCCUGGAGCUC